GACGAACGCUGGCGGCGUGCUUAACACAUGCAAGUCGAACGGAAAGGCCCUGCUUUUGUGGGGUGCUCGAGUGGCGAACGGGUGAGUAACACGUGAGUAACCUGCCCUUGACUUUGGGAUAACUUCAGGAAACUGGGGCUAAUACCGGAUAGGAGCUCCUGCUGCAUGGUGGGGGUUGGAAAGUUUCGGCGGUUGGGGAUGGACUCGCGGCUUAUCAGCUUGUUGGUGGGGUAGUGGCUUACCAAGGCUUUGACGGGUAGCCGGCCUGAGAGGGUGACCGGCCACAUUGGGACUGAGAUAGGGCCCAGACUCCUACGGGAGGCAGCAGUGGGGAAUAUUGCACAAUGGGCGGAAGCCUGAUGCAGCAACGCCGCGGGCGGGAUGACGGCCUUCGGGUUGUAAACCGCUUUCGCCUGUGACGAAGCGUGAGUGACGGUAAUGGGUAAAGAAGCACCGGCUAACUACGUG
rnacentral:rRNA from 1 species